CUGGAAUAAGGCGGUAGAAACUGUGCGGACAGACCGUCGUUAGCUUACAGUUGAUAAACGAAUUUAGCUACAAUGCGUUUGCCAUCUAGGUGUUGCUGACCUCCUAUGGAAGUGGACCUCCUCCCUCCAGAAGCGCCAUGCGAGGGUAUCACUCCAAACUGGACUCAUCCUCCUCUGCUGGGGGUACGGGCGGCUCCAUGCCCCUGAGCCUGGCCGUGGAGACGGAGAAAGCCCAGGCAUUGCUCCAGACCUUCUCCUCUGCCUCCCUACUGGCCAGCACUGCGCUGGGGGCCUUCUGUGUGCUAGCUGACCACGUCAUGCAGCUGACCCUACUCCAACAGCACCUGUGGCUGCGGGCAGUGCUGGACAACACCGUCCAUUGUCUGAUAGGCCUCUGGUCCUGGGCUAUCGUCAUUGGCCUCAAGAAGAAGAGUGACUUCUAUGAAGUUAUCUUAGCAGGGAUACUGGCCUCUGUUAUAGACCUGGAUCACUUCUAUAUGGCUGGCUCUCUGUCGCUCAAAGCAGCCACCAGCCUGCCCCACCGCCCCCCCCUCCACUGCUCCUCUCUCAUCCCUGUCCUCUGCUUCUCUCUGAGGCUGGUGCUGUGGCUGGGCAGGCUAAAGGACUCGUGGUGCUCUCUACCUUGGCUGCUGUUUAUCUCCCUGGCCUCACAUCACAUCCGAGACGGGGUCCGCCAUGGCCUGUGGGUGUGUCCGUUCGGCAACACGGCCCCCAUCUCCUAUUGGCUGUAUGUGAGCAUCACAGCCACCCUGCCACACCUGUGCUCUGUGCUCAUGUACCUGACAGGAACUCGAGACGUGAUCUCCACCAAGCACGGCAUCGCCAUUGACAUCUGAUGGAAGGGCCAACACGACGCCUCCCUAAUAGCACCCUAUUCCCUAUGUAGUGCACUACUAUUGACCAUAACCCUAUUCCUUAUGUAGUGCACUACUAUUGACCAGAACCCUAUUCCUUAUGUAGUGCCCCAUAUAGUGAAUAGGGCUCUGGUCAAUAGUAGUACACUACAUAGGGAAUAGUGCUCUGGUCAAUAGUAGUACACUAUAUAGGGAAUAGGGUUCUAUAGGGCUCUGGUCUAAAGUAGUGCAUUAUAUAGGGAAUAGGGCUCUGGUCUAAAGUAGUGCACUAUAUAGGGAAUAGGGCUCUGGUCUGUAGUAGUGCACUAUAUAGGGAAUAGGGCUCUGGUCAAUAGUAGUGCACUAUGAAGGGAAUAAGGUGCCAUUUGGUACACCGGUAAACCCCACAAUGCCUCAGCCUCGUCUAUUUUCUUCACACCACGGGAGUGAUCACUUCUUCUUCCUCCACUAAACUGCCUCCUCCCUCCCUCCUCUAGUCUGUCUCAGGCUGGGAGGCUGUGUCCUGUGUGACUGUCAGUGCAGUAGUGUGUGGAAGUGCUUGAUGUCGAGCUGUGAGGUAUUUUAUAGCCUUGUAAUUCCCCCACUGAUUACUGCUGUGCUGUCAGUGUAGCUAAGCAGAAUGUAAGGAGGAAUGGGAUGGUUGUACUGACUGGGUCAAAGGGAAAGGCGACAUUCUAAUUCUCUACUCUUCUCCUGAAGUGUCCACUUGGAUGGAAUGGACUGGAAGGUCCUAGGGAACAGAGCAGUACAUUAUGAAGCUGAAGGUCCUAGGGAACAGAGCAGUACAUUAUGAAGCUGAAGGUCCUAGGGAACAGAGCAGUACAUUAUGAAGCUGAAGGUCCUAGGAGCAGAGCAGUACAUUAUGAAGCUGAAGGUCCUAGGGAACAGAGCAGUACAUUAUGAAGCUGAAGGUCCUAGGAGCAGAGCAGUACAUUAUGAAGCUGAAGGUCCUAGGGAACAGAGCAGUACAUUAUGAAGCUGAAGGUCCUAGGGAACAGAGCAGUACAUUAUGAAGCUGAAGGUCCUAGGGAACAGAGCAGUACAUUAUGAAGCUGAAGGUCCUAGGGAACAGAGCAGUACAUU